rnacentral:lncRNA from 1 species
UCUUAUGCCCGUUUUCACCAACAACCUCUUACCGUUUCCCUAUCUAAAAGCUACUUUUAAUAAGGACCCCUCCCAAUUUGACACCUACCUAAAUUCAUUUUCACCACACUUGUACAUGGAUCCCUUAAGUAAGUGACAGAUUACUAGUUCUACAAACGAUAAUGCAAAGUCGAUAUUUUAUCGAUAAAAUGAUUUUUCUCUACUUCUUAAGAAAUAAACGUCUAUCGAGUAUAUAUUACUAAAGCCUGUGAGUUUUUUUCCUUGUGAUGUUAUUUUAAUUUAACUUAAACUACAUUACGCUAUGUUUUAUGCAAUAAAACAGUAAAGAGGUUUUCUACAGGUGAAUUUUUACCUAUGUCAUUCGCGCGUUUGUCAAAUUGACUGAUGUGUAUGUGUACAUAGAGUGAGGUUAAUUUUGGGUUUAUUAUUGUUGAAUAGAUAAGUUUAUUUUGGCAGAGAAGAGAAAACGAGGAUAAACCUUUCUUGCAGAAGAAAAAGACAAGCUAGUGAAAUUGCUGACGUCUCAUAGAGACACAAUAUUAAACAAAAAACGGAUGGGACCACGAACGAAGCCAAAAACAAAGCUUGGAUCCAGUCACAAAUAGUUUUAAUGCGACAGGAACCCUUUACAGUUUCAGGUGGUGCGAGAAAUUGGAAAGACGUGUAAAAACAUGCUGCGCCCAGCCCACCUCAAAUUGAAUUGGUGCAGGAGGAUGAUGAUAAUGUUUGGUACAUCACAUGAGGACUAAUAUUAAAAUAUUUGUUUACUAUCUUUGUUUUAAUUUACAUAAUUUAUUAUGUUCAAUGUUAGCCUACUUCUUACCUCCAGAGGGUAUCCUAUCACCUAGGAGAUAGGCUCCUCCAUAUUCACCAUUUUCGAAUCAUUGGUAUCUACUGCAGUUUUGGUAUUUAAGGCCUAUUCAAACCUGAGCGAUAUUCGCUGCCGCUGUGGGUAGAGGUAGAUACCGCGCCGGUUUCGCUCAGGUAUUUAGUAUCAAGUAUAGUUACCGGCACGGAUAUUGAGCUCUCGGCGGAAGAGUGGGGAUCGCUUUGCGCACUGUACACAAGGCAAUAAACCAAUAAAUGGCUUCUGCGCAGGUGAAGGUCAGGGCUCAAUAUCCGUGCCGAUAACUAUACCGCGGCUAGAGCGACCUGAGCGAUAUCCACUGCCGCUGUGGGUAGAAGUACAUACCGCGCGGCAGCAGCGGCAUGCAUCCCGAACAUCAACAGUCAUAUUACCGCAUACCCACUGGGUUUUCUCUGUCGCAGGUGGUAGCGAAUACCGCUUAGGUCUGAACAGUCAUAUUACCGCAUGCCCACAGGGUUUUCUCUGCCGUAGACGGUAGCGAAUACCGCUUAGGUCUGAAUAGGCCUAUAGUUGUCCCGGCCACCGCGAAACUACAUCAGUGAUUACCAGAUUUGCAUCUGUUAUGGUCUGUAUAAUCUUAUAAAAAAGUCAUGAUCAUCGUACUUUUUUCUCAGACAUCUGCUCUUUCACGUAAGAUAGGUAGGUACGUGGUCUUCUAAUGAUUAUUAUUUUACAUAUCCACAACCUCCACAGCUUCUAAACUUUCUAAAAGUUUACGUUUCAUUUUUUUUUUUUUGCUUUUUAAACAUGGUAUUUUUGGUGUUACAUAACAUAUAAAGGUACAUUUCACUAUCCAUCGCCAGAAACGGUUCAAAAUAUGUUUGUAUUCUGUAAUGAUAAUGAUAGGAGUUGUUUAAGCAGGCAUCAAUCGGGCUCCCAAGUUUAAGUGAAAUUUUUAGGUUAAAAUUGACACCUAGGCUUUGGUGAAAAUGAAAUUCUUAUUAAGUGUUCCGUAAAUGCUCCCUAAAUUUAGGUAUUCGUUGGUGAAAACGGGCAUUAGA